CACGUAGGGGGCAAGCGUUGUCCGGAUUUAUUGGGCGUAAAGAGCUCGUAGGCGGUUCGCUAAGUCGGGUGUGAAAACUCUGGGCUCAACUCAGAGAUGCCACCCGAUACUGGCGUGACUCGAGUCCGGUAGGGGAGCAUGGAAUUCCUGGUGUAGCGGUGAAAUGCGCAGAUAUCAGGAGGAACACCAGUGGCGAAGGCGGUGCUCUGGGCCGGUACUGACGCUGAGGAGCGAAAGCGUGGGUAGCAAACAGG
rnacentral:rRNA from 1 species